rnacentral:misc_RNA from 1 species
UUAAGUUCAGCGGGUAGUCCUACCUGAUUUGAGGUCAAGUUGUCAUAGAUUGUCUGCAAAGAGACGAUUAGAAGCAGAGUUCCUUCAUUUCAAAGGCUGACCUUGGUCACAGUGUAGAUAAUUAUCACACUAGCGGCUAGUCAACAGAAGCGCUCUAGCUAAUACAUUUAAGGAAAGCCAAGUCUUAAGUAAUAAGCGCC